UAAGAGGUCCCGCCUGCCCUGUGACUAUAUGUUUAACGGCCGCGGUAUUUUGACCGUGCAAAGGUAGCGCAAUCACUUGUCCUUUAAAUGGGGACCUGUAUGAAUGGCAUAACGAGGGCUUAGCUGUCUCCUCUUUCAAGUCAAUGAAAUUGAUCCUCCCGUGCAGAAGCGGGAAUAAAAACAUAAGACGAGAAGACCCUAUGGAGCUUUAGACACAAAACAGACCACGUCAAACACCCUUAAAUAAAAGAACAAACUAAAUGGACCCUGUUCAAAUGUCUUUGGUUGGGGCGACCACGGGGCAACAAAAAACCCCCAUGUGGAAUAAAACACCAUUUUAAAACCAAGAGCUACCGCUCUAAUAAACAGAACAUCUGACCAAUGAGAUCCGGCCUGGCCGAUCAACGAACCGAGUUACCCUAGGGAUAACAGCGCAAUCCUCUUUUAGAGUCCAUAUCGACAAGAGGGUUUACGACCUCGAUGUUGGAUCAGGACAUCCUAAUGGUGCAGCCGCUAUUAAGGUUCG
rnacentral:rRNA from 1 species